rnacentral:rRNA from 1 species
CUGACUGCUUCGGAUUGAUACUAAGCCAUGCGAGUCAUUGUAGUAAUACAAGGCAGACGGCUCAGUAACGCGUAGUCAACCUACCCUAUGGACGGGAAUAACCUCGGGAAACUGAGUAUAAUGCCCGAUAGAACACUAUACCUGGAAUGGUUUGUGUUCCAAAUGAUUUAUCGCCGUAGGAUGGGACUGCGGCCUAUCAGUUUGUUGGUGAGGUAAUGGCCCACCAAGACUAUUACAGGUACGGGCUCUGAGAGGAGUAGCCCGGAGAUGGGUACUGAGACACGGACCCAGGCCCUAUGGGGCGCAGCAGGCGAGAAAACUUUGCAAUGUGCGAAAGCACGACAAGGUUAAUCCGAGUGGUUUGUGCUAAACGAACCCUUUGACAGUCCUAGAAACACUGUUGAAUAAGGGGUGGGCAAGUUCUGGUGUCAGCCGCCGCGGUAAAACCAGCACCUCAAGUGGUCAGGAUGAUUAUUGGGCCUAAAGCAUCCGUAGCCGGCUCUGUAAGUUUUCGGUUAAAUCUGUAUGCUCAACAUACAGGCUGCCGGGAAUACUGCAGAGCUAGGGAGUGGGAGAGGUAGACGGUACUCGGUAGGAAGGGGUAAAAUCCUUUGAUCUAUUGAUGACCACCUGUGGCGAAGGCGGUCUACCAGAACACGUCCGACGGUGAGGGAUGAAAGCUGGGGGAGCAAACCGGAUUAGAUACCCGGGUAGUCCCAGCUGUAAACUAUGCAAACUCAGUGAUGCAUUGGCUUGUGGCCAAUGCAGUGCUGCAGGGAAGCC